AAGUCGUAACAAGGUUUCCGUAGGUGAACCUGCGGAAGGAUCAUUGAUGUAGUGGCUUCGGCCGACCUGCAGUUCGUUAACACGGCUGCCUUGGUUAUAUUGAGCGUUCGUCCGUGCCCUUCAACCGGCAUCGGGCCAACGGCGUAUAACCCCUCCGCAAGUCCGACACCGCUUCGCUCACGCGUUGCCCCGGAUUUGUGUUCGCUCUAGUCUAAGGGUGAAAUUCCCUGGAGGGCCGGUUAUAUGAUAAAACAUAUAAUUGGCUCAGCGAGGUAUCCAGUCUGGAAAGGGUCUUUAACCAAGAUCCUCGAAAGACUUUACAGUUUUAUUUUUUUUAGUCACUUACAUUUUUGACGCUGUUCAUUCAGCUGACAAAAUUAUAAACCAAAUAAAACUUUCAACAACGGAUCUCUUGGCUAGCC
rnacentral:misc_RNA from 1 species